rnacentral:rRNA from 1 species
CGUGAGCAACCUGCCUUUCAGAGGGGGAUAACAGUUGGAAACGACUGCUAAUACCGCAUAACGCUGCGAUGGGGCAUCCCGAUGCAGCCAAAGGAGCAAUCCGCUGGAAGAUGGGCUCGCGGCCGAUUAGCUAGUUGGUGGGGCAACGGCCCACCAAGGCGACGAUCAGUAGCCGGCCUGAGAGGGUGAACGGCCACAUUGGGACUGAGACACGGCCCAGACUCCUACGGAAGGCAGCAG